AGGCCAGACUCCUACGGGAGGCAGCAGUGGGGAAUAUUGCACAAUGGGGGAAACCCUGAUGCAGCGACGCCGCGUGAGCGAUGAAGUAUUUCGGUAUGUAAAGCUCUAUCAGCAGGGAAGAAGAUGACGGUACCUGUCGAAUAAGCCACGGCUAACUACGUGCCAGCAGCCGCGGUAAUACGUAGGUGGCAAGCGUUGUCCGGAUUUACUGGGUGUAAAGGGCGUGUAGCCGGGCUUACAAGUCAGAUGUGAAAUCCGGGGGCUCAACCCCCGAACUGCAUUUGAAACUGUAGGUCUUGAGUAUCGGAGAGGCAGGCGGAAUUCCUAGUGUAGCGGUGAAAUGCGUAGAUAUUAGGAGGAACACCAGUGGCGAAGGCGGCCUGCUGGACGACAACUGACGGCGAGGCGCGAAAGCGUGGGGAGCAAACAGGAUUAGAUACCCCAGUA
rnacentral:rRNA from 1 species